UCGAACGGGAUCCCUGGCAGCUUGCUGCCGGGGUGAGAGUGGCGAACGGGUGAGUAAUGCGUGACCGACCUGCCCCAUGCACCGGAAUAGCUCCUGGAAACGGGUGGUAAUGCCGGAUGUUCCACAUGAGCGCAUGCGAGUGUGGGAAAGGCUUUUUGCGGCAUGGGAUGGGGUCGCGUCCUAUCAGCUUGUUGGUGGGGUAACGGCCUACCAAGGCGUUGACGGGUAGCCGGCCUGAGAGGGCGACCGGCCACAUUGGGACUGAGAUACGGCCCAGACUCCUACGGGAGGCAGCAGUGGGGAAUAUUGCACAAUGGGCGCAAGCCUGAUGCAGCGACGCCGCGUGCGGGAUGGAGGCCUUCGGGUUGUAAACCGCUUUUGUUCAAGGGCAAGGCACGGUUUCGGCCGUGUUGAGUGGAUUGUUCGAAUAAGCACCGGCUAACUACGUGCCAGCAGCCGCGGUAAUACGUAGGGUGCAAGCGUUAUCCGGAUUUAUUGGGCGUAAAGGGCUCGUAGGCGGUUCGUCGCGUCCGGUGUGAAAGUCCAUCGCUUAACGGUGGAUCCGCGCCGGGUACGGGCGGGCUUGAGUGCGGUAGGGGAGACUGGAAUUCCCGGUGUAACGGUGGAAUGUGUAGAUAUCGGGAAGAACACCAAUGGCGAAGGCAG
rnacentral:rRNA from 1 species